GGCCGGCCCCGGGCUCUCGGCCGCCGCGGGAGGGCGUGGGGCGGGGCGGCGGCCGCCGGACUCUCCCCUCGCCUCGCCGGGCCGGGCCGGGGCCGCGCUCGGGCGCCCGCGAUCACCAAGUGACAGAAGUGCCUCGCUCCGCUGCCGCGCCGAGCUGUUUCCCGGGGGCGGAUUUCUCGCUUCUUCCUCCCUGGAUCCACCUCCUCCCACUCCACCUCCUUCCCCUCCCCUCCCCAGGGGAGGCUCCGGGGCUGAAUAUUUUCUGUCUUGAAUAAUAUGGUCCCGGGAACCAACGCUGGAGAAGGGGGAUUAGCCUGGGGCGGGGUGAGGGGUGAUCGCCAACCCCCUCCCAAUGUGUGUCGGGACCUACAAGCCCUCGCCGCCCCCAACACCUCCCCCAAAGCCAGACACACAAAACCCUCCCCGCCUUCGCCAAUCUCUCGAGCUCAGAGCGGGAGCGGCCAGGAACCCGGGCUUCUGCUGCGGAAGGCUCGGUGCUCCGCGUCAGGGCCCGGGAGGGGGACCUUCAUACAGCCAGAUACCCAGAAUUGGGGGAUCCCAGGUCCCAGACGGCGGGGGACACGUCUGGCCUCCUGCUGUGGUUCUGCAGUGGCUGCUGGAUCCACUCAAAGAUAAGUCACCCACUGUGUCUUUGUAGAAAUGGAAAAUCUAGAGCGCAAAUCUAAUCAAAGAUGAAUGGGAAGAAAAUUAAAAGGAUGAAGUAAGAGUUUUAAACUGGGGAGGAAUGGGGAAGAGGAAACAAAGAAAUGAUUAUUGUAGAAGACAAUUCACCCCAGGAAACAGAAGAAAAAUAGAGACAAAUGUUCUCCACCUGGAAGGAAAUCAAAUAUAUCAAAAGUUAAAUGAAAAAAAAAGAAAGAAAGAUAAAGGCGUUCCUGCCGUGGCUCAGUGGUUAAUGGACCCAGCUAAUAUCCAUGAGGAUGCAGGUUCGAUCCCUGGCCUUGCUCAGUGGGUUAGGGAUCUGGCGUUGAUGUGAGCUGUGGUGUGGGUUUGCAGACGAGGCUCAGAUCCCGUGUUGCUGUGGCUGUGGUGUAGGCCGCAGCUAUAGCUCUGAUUUGACACCCAGCCUGGGAACCGCCAUAUACCACGGGUGCUGCCCUAAAAAGAGCAAAAAAAAAAAAAAAAAAAAUCCGCUGAGCCACAAGGGGAACUCCCAGGACCAUCUCCUUUGACUCAGAGAUGGAAGUCACUGUGGAAGCUGGCACAGACAUCGCAGCAGGCCUGAACUGCCUACUUCUGGAUUGUUACCAGAAACAGACAAAACCUUCUAUGUCACCAUAAGGACCAUCGUAUUUUAAAAAUCUUUUUGGGAGUUCCCGUCGUGGCGCAGUGGUUAACAAAUCCGACUAGGAACAAUGACGUUGCGGGUUCGGUCCCUGCCCUUGCUCAGUGGGUUAACGAUCCGGCGUUGCCAUGAGCUGUGGUGUAGGUUGAAGACACAGCUCGGAUCCCACAUUGCUGUGGCUCUGGCGUAGGCCGGUGGCUACAGCUCCGAUUCGACCCCUAGCCUGGGAACCUCCAUAUGCCGAGGGAGCGGCCCAAGAAAUAGCAACAACAACAACAACAAAAGACAAAAAGACAAAAAAAAAAAUAAAAAUAAAAAUAAAAAUCUUUUUGGUACAGGAGCUUAGCUUUUGUCUAAACUACUUGUGAACACUUUUUUGCAAUGCCAAAGAUAAAAGAACUUAGCAUGUUUCAGGAAGUAUGAAAGGAGAAUAAUUACUUGGGGGAAGUUGUUAAACUUCGAUAUUACCAAAAAAAAAAAAAAAAAGGAAUCCUAAAAGUAAAUCAAAGUGAGUCACCUAAAGUAGGGGCUGACAAACUAUGGCCCACAGAGCAAAUCCCAUCUGCUGCUUGGU
rnacentral:lncRNA from 1 species